GACCCCAUAGCUCAGUUGGUAGAGCAUUCGUCUAAAUUGCGAAAGGUCCCCAGUUCAAGCCUGGGUGGAGGCA
rfam:Phlebotomus papatasi Contig70973.1, whole genome shotgun sequence.